rnacentral:lncRNA from 1 species
CACAGCCCCCCCACGUCCUCCUCUUGGAACACGCCCCGGCUCUGUCCGUGCAGCCUCCUCCAGUCAGCAGAGGGGUAGCGAGCUGUGCGAGUCUGUACCGCUGCACUGAUUCGCUCCGAUAACGCUGACUUCCGACGGGCUUCCGAAGAAUGAGAAAUCCAACCGCAUAAUCUGCGGGUCCGCACGCACCUGACUGCUCCGGUGCGCACGGUGCACACCGGGCAAAGCAUUCGAGACGGAGCCGUCUUGUCUCUUUAUUCUCCAAGAGCAAUGUGGACAUGCUGUAAGGGUAGCCGCCGUGUCCCGAGGGAAGAUGCCGAGCAGACGCAGGAUCUGAGCAUAAGGAACUGUUCACCUCAGCGGUCAUGAGGAGUAGAGGGCGCUGAUGAGACCUGCUGCUGCCUUGCCAGCAUGUGCUGCUAGUCCAGUACCAACCGAAGGUGGACGUGGUUGGACAGAGCAGUAAAUGCACACCUUGCUCAUCCAUCAAUGUGGCCGUGUCUGUGUUCUCUCCCUCCACCUCGCUUCCUCUUCCCCUCCAGCUUAGUUGAGCUGCGUCCUUCUGUGGCACAUGAUUAAUCCUGCCUCUCAUAUCUCUUCUCCUGUGUCAGCACCUUUGCUGCUUUAUAGGCUUAUUCUAAAAUGAAAUGACAGUUCCACUCUGAAAUAUC